UAGCGCCUGCGGCGGACCCGGCACGGACCUUUGGCUAUGACCCGGCUUCGCAGGCAGCCUGUCCGUGUACGGUCUGGUACAAUUCCGGAAUUUCCGGAAUUUAACGAUUUCU
rnacentral:ncRNA from 1 species